rnacentral:rRNA from 1 species
UACGUAGGUGGCAAGCGUUGUCCGGAUUUACUGGGCGUAAAGAGCGCGCAGGCGGUCGUUCAAGUCGAGUGUGAAAGCCCCCGGCUCAACUGGGGAGGGUCAUUCGAUACUGAUCGACUCGAAGGCAGGAGAGGGAAGUGGAAUUCCCGGUGUAGUGGUGAAAUGCGUAGAGAUCCGGAGGAACACCAGCGGCGAAGGCGGCGUCCUGGACUGGGCCUGACGCUCAGGAGCGAAAGCGUGGGGAGCGAUCCGG